CACCGCCCGUCACACCAUGGGAGUUGGUUUCACCCGAAGGCAGUGCGCUAACCCGCAAGGAAGGCAGCUGACCACGGUGGGAUCAGCGACUGGGGUG
rnacentral:rRNA from 1 species